CAGUAGCCGCGGGAAUACGGAGGGUGCAAGCGUUAUCCGGAUUUAUUGGGUUUAAAGGGUCCGUAGGCGGACUUAUAAGUCAGUGGUGAAAGCCUGUCGCUUAACGAUAGAACUGCCAUUGAUACUGUAAGUCUUGAGUAUAUUUGAGGUAGCUGGAAUAAGUAGUGUAGCGGUGAAAUGCAUAGAUAUUACUUAGAACACCAAUUGCGAAGGCAGGUUACCAAGAUAUAACUGACGCUGAGGGACGAAAGCGUGGGUAGCGAACAGGAUUAGAGACCCCAGUAGUCCCUGUCUCUUAUAC
rnacentral:rRNA from 1 species